GACGAACGCUGGCGGCGCGCUUAACACAUGCAAGUCGAGCGAGAACCAGGGCUUCGGCCCUGGGGACAGCGGCGAACGGGUGAGUAACACGUGGGUAAUCCACCCUCGGCACCGGAAUAGCCCGGGGAAACCCGGAUUAAUGCCGGAUGGCCCGCCGGCCCUGCGGGGCUGGCGGAAAAGGUAGCUUCGGCCUCCGGCCGAGGACGAGCCCGCGACGGAUUAGCUUGUUGGUGGGGUAACGGCCUACCAAGGCUGCGAUCCGUAGCUGGUCUGAGAGGACGAUCAGCCACACUGGGACUGAGACACGGCCCAGACUCCUACGGGAGGCAGCAGUGGGGAAUCUUGCGCAAUGGGCGAAAGCCUGACGCAGCGACGCCGCGUGAGGGAAGAAGGCCUUCGGGUUGUAAACCUCUUUCAGGAGGGACGAAGCCACUCGGGUUAAUAGCCCAGAGGGUGACGGUACCUCCAGAAGAAGCCCCGGCUAACUACGUGCCAGCAGCCGCCGCCGUAA
rnacentral:rRNA from 1 species